AGAAGUUUUAAUGGAGUUUGAGAUAGGGCGACGAGGUUGAAACUAGGAUGAUGUUGCGCAAUAAGGGAAAAUAUUGAAGAAGUAUCGCGAGCCAAUUUUCAUUUUGAACCUCUACGGUGAAUUUGGUAUCUUUUGAAGAAAUUUUUCAGAAAUCUAAAUUCUACGAAUGUAGGUUUAUUUAUCAGUGAAAACGAUAGGAGGAACAAUUACCAUAUCAUCAACGGUAUUGUCGCAACGCUAGCGGUGCACGAGCGGUCAAUUGGUGUAAUUGACGCGCGGAAAGUAACGUUGAAGUAUUUUGAAGUUCACGCUGACUGCAUCAACGAUCGUUCUAACUUUUGUAACGUCUAUCUCGUAGCACGACAAAGGAGGCAGCACCAGCUGGACCUCCAAUUAAAAGCUCCCCUCGUUCGUUUCGAACAAGUCCACACUAUCGUAAAACUAGAGUGUGCACAUGUACGAUGAUGAUGAGCCAGCAAAAAAUUUCUACAGUAGCAGGCAAUGUAGAACAGUUAGAGAUACAACGUCGUACGUGCAUGUAAAACCUUCGCCGAGCUAAUCCUCAAACGCAAUUUGAACAAAACAAUGCAACUGUUUCUUUAGUGUAAUUCGAUUCCAUUCAAUGUAAAUACAUCACUACACCCAACUGUCUAUCGUGAAAGUGUAAUGAAAGUGAUAAAUAUAGCAGAAAUAAGUUCUAUCUGUGACAAUUGCUUGUAAGAUGUACGAUGAGACACGUGAUAAAAAUAAAAAAAUUAAAUUAAUGCGAGAAACGUGCCAAUUUUGUAAUAGUUGGUAAAAUCGAAUAAACUUUCGUAAACUUUUCAAUUAAAAAAAACAUCGGUAAAAUGUAGUAUGAUUUAGUAUAUUCCUUUUACUUUGCUUCAAACAAAUUAUUCGUUAAUUUAUUAUUUUCCUUUCUAUACUUAAUAUUAUAAUUGGUCAACAUAUUCGUGGAUAAUUAAUCCCUGAAGGGAACCAUACAUACGAUACGCGUGCAUGUGUAUGUACAUGUUGUUUUAUUCAAACAUGAUUCCAAAGAUAUAUAAUAACCACGUAUGUACAAUAACGUACAACAUUUUUCUCAGAUAAUUAAAAAUAUCUUCCAAUAUCGAUCCAACUCAUCAAAUAUCUGUAAAUAUGAUUCAAGUAAAUAUUAUCUAAUUUAAAUAAAUUCACCCUCAAUGAGGUUAAACUUUAUAUGAAACCAGGUAUAUCAAACAACGUAAAGCGAGGCUUUUUCCACACAAAUAAUCGAUACAAAAAGGAAAACUCUUCAAUCAAAAUAACCAAUCAGCUU
rnacentral:misc_RNA from 1 species